AUAUCAGUUUGGGACAGAAAUUCAUUAUAGUCUCAUUUUUUACUUUACCUAUUUGGGCAUAAUCCAUAAACAUCUAGAAUCAUUUGCUCUUGAACAGUCACUUCUACAGAAGCAAUUAAAGCUAUAUGUAUGAUGGAAAAUGCCAGCCUCAGUCUCUUUUGCACACCUGAUCCUUCUCUGGAAAGUUAUGAUCACUGUAAUGCAGAUGUUUUCUCCGGAUUUCUCCAGUACCAAUAGAUCAGAAACAGCAAUUGGACUGGGAUGAAUUUUGAGAAAUAUAUUUCAGAAAUGCUGUGUCCCUUCUGUCCAAUCUUGCCCCUCGUCUGUGAGCUUGUUUGCUGGGCAUUGGGACAUAAAAAGGCAAACCUUUGGGAAAAGUGGAGAGACGGAUCAAGGACACCAGUGAUUCGAGUCUUAAAUGUGCCUGAAGCGCAAAUAGCAACCUCUGACAGAGCCUGAAGAAAUUUCUGUGGCGGUUCCCACGAGUUAACCAAAUAAUCAGAAAUUGUGAUGAAAGAGAAGCAGGCUUCAAAACAGAUAAUGAAUUUCUUCUAACUUGUCUGGAAACUGAAGAGCUAUAAUUCUGACUGAUCAGAUAUGGUCCGCCUCAGAGAGACACCAGAUGUGAUCCAGAUUUUAAAUAGAUGCUGCGACUGUCAAAAUGUAUUCACUCCCUUCUGUUAUAACAAAGUGAAGUCCAUCUGUCUGGAGCUGUGUACUUUUUUUGGUGGAAAGCCUUCCCUUGGCUUUAGUCUGGGUUCAGUGCCACGUCCCCGGUGUUUGCCCUUAAGAAGCAGCCAGUAA
rnacentral:lncRNA from 1 species